AGUCGGAGCCCUAGACUUAAGGGUCCUGCAAUUUAGGGGUUCUUUGUGAUGCCUUAAGGCAUCACUAAAGAUAUUUCUAAGUAAAUAGAAAGCGAUGUAAUUUACAAAUUUAGUAGGGUCUUUAAGUCUAGGGUGACGGCG
rnacentral:rRNA from 1 species